AUUGCGAACGGGUGAGUAACGCGUGGGUAUCUACCUUUGAGUGGGGGAUAACGUUCCGAAAAGGACGCUUAAUACCGCAUUACGUUCCGGGUUUAAAGACCUGGAAACCAAAGCUGGAACCGCAAGGUCUGGCGCUUGAAGAGGAGCCCGCGUCCGAUUAGCUAGUUGGCGGGGUAACGGCCCACCAAGGCGACGAUCGGUAACCGGCCUGAAAGGGCGGACGGCCACACUGGGACUUAGACACGGCCCAGACUCCUACGGGAGGCAGCAGUGGGGAAUUGUUCUACAAUGGGCGCAAGCCUGAUGACGCAACGCCGCGUGGGGGAUAAAGGUCUUCGGAUCGUAAACCCCUGUCGAACGGGACGAAUAGCCUUCGGGUUAAUACCCCGGAGGAAUGACGGUACCGUUAAA
rnacentral:rRNA from 1 species